rnacentral:lncRNA from 1 species
CAAGAAACAUAUGUGGGGUGAGGUGUACGAGCCUCUGGUCGAUGAUCAAUGGCCACACAACCCCCAUUUUUGUCGAAAAUAGCCAUGAACGACCAUUUUCAAUACACUGAAGGCUAACACCUAGGAUUUUUGACCAAGAAAUGGUCUCCACCAUAAAUCCAAGAAUGUGAUCUAUGGCAAGGAAACAUAUGUGGGUGAGGUGUAUGAGCCUCUGGUCGAAGAUCAAUGGCCACACAACCCCCAUUUUUGUCGAAAAUAGCCAUGAAUGACCAUUUUCAAUAAUACCGAAGGCUAACACUACGGAUUUUUGACCAAGAAAUGGUCUCCACCAGAAAUCCAAGAAUGUGAUCUAUGGCAAGGAAACAUAUGUGGGGUGAGGUGUACGAGCCUCUGGUCGAUGAUCAAUGGCCACACAACCCCCAUUUUGUCGAAAAUAGCCAUGAACGACCAUUUUCAAUAAUACCGAAGGCUAACACGUACGAUUUUUGACCAAGAAAUGGUCUCCACCAGAAAUCCAAGAAUGUGAUCUAUGGCAAGGAAACAUAUGUGGGGUGAGGUGUACGAGCCUCUGGUCGAUGAUAAAUGGCCACACAACCCCCAUUUUUGAUGAAAAUAGCCAUGAACGACCAUUUUCAAUAAUACCAGAGGCUAACACCUACGGAUUUUUGACCAAGAAAUGGUCUCCACCAGAAAUCCAAGAAUGUGAUCUAUGGCAAGGAAACAUAUGUGGGGUGAGGUGUAUGAGCCUCUGGUC